GAAACGGAACAGGGGAGAAACAGGGGAGAAAGAAAGAAAGAAAAAGUAAAGAAGAAAAUUAGGGUUUUUAAGGUUCAAUUUCAAAUUGAGAAAGAAAAGAAAGCAAAGGACCUAAUUGAAGAAAAAGGAAAAUAGAAGGCUAAGGAGUGAAGGAAGAUAUCAUCUCAACCUUUUUGUUGUACAGUUUGUCUCGAAGAGGUAAAGUUAGGAUAGAAGAUCUCUCAUCUCAUCACAUCCUCAAGAGCUUCAAAAGUAGGUACCAUAUUUUGAAUUAAAAUGGCAUGUACAUAGACAGUCAGUUAUGCUUCCAUGUGUUAGGAACUAAAAUGUAAACUCUUGGACUUCUAUCUAUUUUUAAGUACUUU